CCCUUAGAUGUCCUGGGCCGCACGCGCGCUACAAUGACUCACUCAGAAAGUUUUUCCUGAUCCGGAAGGAUUCGGGUAAUCUUCAUAGCAUGAGUCGUGUUAGGGAUCGAUCUUUGCAAUUAUAGAUCUUGAACGAGGAAUGCCUAGUAAGUGCAGCUCAUCAGGCUGUACUGAUUACGUCCCUGCCCUUUGUACACACCGCCUGUCGCUCCUACCGAUUGAGUGGUCCGGUGAACCUUCUGGAUUAAGCAGCAAUGCUUGAGAAGUUAGGUAAACCUUAUCACUUAGAGGAAGGAGAAGUCGUAACA
rnacentral:rRNA from 1 species